GGCGCUGUAGCCAAGUGGUAAGGCAGAGGUCUGCAAAACCUCCAUCCACCGGUUCGAAUCCGGUCAGCGCCUCCA
rnacentral:tRNA from 1 species